rnacentral:rRNA from 1 species
UACAGAGGUCUCAAGCGUUGUUCGGAUUCAUUGGGCGUAAAGGGUGCGUAGGCGGCGCGGUAAGUCGGGUGUGAAAUCUCGGAGCUUAACUCCGAAACUGCAUUCGAUACUGCCGUGCUUGAGGACUGGAGAGGAGACUGGAAUUUACGGUGUAGCGGUGAAAUGCGUAGAUAUCGUAAGGAAGACCAGUGGCGAAGGCGGGUCUCUGGACAUUAACUGACGCUGAGGAGCGAAAGCAUGGGGAGCGAACAGG